GGCUUAGAGUUUGAUCAUGGCUCAGGAUGAACGCUGGCGGCGUGCUUAACACAUGCAAGUCGAACGGAGAACCCUUGACGGAGUUUUCGGACAACGGAUAGGAAUUCUUAGUGGCGGACGGGUGAGUAACGCGUGAGGAACCUGCCUUGGAGAGGGGAAUAACACAGAGAAAUUUGUGCUAAUACCGCAUGAUGCAGUUGGGUCGCAUGGCUCUGACUGCCAAAGAUUUUAUCGCUCUGAGAUGGCCUCGCGUCUGAUUAGCUAGUUGGUGGGGCAACGGCCCACCAAGGCGACGAUCAGUAGCCGGACUGAGAGGUUGACCGGCCACAUUGGGACUGAGACACGGCCCAGACUCCUACGGGAGGCAGCAGUGGGGAAUAUUGGGCAAUGGGCGCAAGCCUGACCCAGCAACGCCGCGUGAAGGAAGAAGGCUUUCGGGUUGUAAACUUCUUUUAUUAAGGACGAAACAAAUGACGGUACUUAAUGAAUAAGCUCCGGCUAACUACGUGCCAGCAGCCGCGGUAAUACGUAGGGAGCAAGCGUUAUCCGGAUUUACUGGGUGUAAAGGGCGUGUAGGCGGGAGUGCAAGUCAGAUGUGAAAACUAUGGGCUCAACCCAUAGCCUGCAUUUGAAACUGUACUUCUUGAGUACUGGAGAGGCAGGCG
rnacentral:rRNA from 1 species